rnacentral:tRNA from 2 species
GCAGUUGUGGCCGAGUGGUUAAGGCGAUGGACUAGACUAGAAAUCCAUUGGGGUCUCCCCGCACAGGUUUGAAUCCUGUUGACUGCA